GACGAACGCUGGCGGCGUGCCUAAUACAUGCAAGUAGGACGCAGUUGCGAACGGGUGAGUAACGCGUAGGUAACUGCCUAUUAGAGGGGGAUAACUAUUGGAAACGAUAGCUAAUACCGCAUACUAGUAGAUGGACCUGCGUUGUAUUAGCUAGUAGGUAGGGUAAUGGCCUACCUAGGCGACGAUGCAUAGCCGACUUUGGAGGGUGGUCGGUCCAACUGGGAAUUGGAAAAGGGCCAGACUCCUACGGGAGGCAGCAGUAGGGAAGUAUCGGAAAUGGGGGGAACCCCGACCGCGCAAAGCCGCGUGAGGGGAGAAUGUUUUCGGAUCGUAAAGCUCUGUUGUUAAGGAAGCGGUACUUAACCAGAAAGGGACGGCUAACUACGUGCCAGCAGCCGCGGUAAUUC
rnacentral:rRNA from 1 species